rnacentral:tRNA from 1 species
AAAAUAAGACUUAAUCAAUAAUGAACUUCUAAUUCAAUUAUUAAAUGAAAUUCAUUUUUAUUUUU